ensembl:lncRNA
CAUUCCCAUGCUGUGGCUUAGAAUCUCUUGCAAGGUGGUUUUAUAGAUCCUGUUCCUCAUACUCCAUCUAGACUGGGAAUAGAAGUAUGAAAAAUCUUUUUUUUUAAACAAACAAACUUUUUGUUCAAUCUUACCAGAGGCAAGCGAAUUCAAUAUAUGCCUUUCCCCAGGGCGAGAGGCUCACAAAGCAGAAGGAAUGUCAUUUUUCAGCCGACAGAAAUAGAGCUUUUUGUCUGCAAUAGUCACUUGCAACAGGAAGCACUCUUCAGAGGUUGUUGCUCUUGACCAAGACUAUGGAUGAAGUGGAUACAAGGCUAUACCCUGAGCACUUCCUUGGGGAAGAAACAACAUGGGGAGCUGUUUGCCUGCUCUUUGGAGGUUUUUGUCUGCAGGUGUGAAGGCACCGUUUGCCUAUUUUGGUAGAGCCUGCCUCCUGACUUCCUAACCAUUAUCUACCCAGGUGACUAUAUUCUCUGCCAAGAAGUUCCUACCAUUUGAUUCUCUAUCUGUGGAGUGAAUAUCAAAGAGGUACAACAAGACAGCUAUUCACAUAGGAGGGGCUUUCAGAAGACUCCUAGCUUGGGCGGACACAAAACUGUAGAAGACAACAGUUAAGACAAGGGUAAAAUGAGCUGGUGAAAACCUAAAGGCAAUGGACUGCUGCUGCUAAGUCGCUUCAGUCGUAUCUGACUCUGUGGGAUUUUCCAGGCAAGAGUACUGGAGUGGGUUGCCAUUGCCUUCUCCAAAAGGCAACAUGAAUUAGGAGUUAAAGCCUCAGAGAUCCAAAUGGCUUUCCCAGUGAAAAAUUCAUGUAUCUUGACCUAAGACAGGAAAUGAGGAGGAGAAAGAAGCCACCAAGCAGAAGAAAACUUAAACAUUUGAAGAGAGGAAGUCAAUAUGCUCCAGAUGCCUAUAGUGGAGACAUUUCGGGAAAAGUUCCAGAAGUGUGUUAUCAGUGGAAUUGUGCCCUUCCUGCAGAGCCCUCUGGAGGACCAGUAAACCUCAUUGCAGGUCACCAUGCUGGUUGGAUUCUCAUGAAGAGGGAAAGGGAAUGGGUAGAGCCAUGGAGGA